UUAAGUUCAGCGGGUAUCCCUACCUGAUCCGAGGUCAACCGUAAAAAAUGGGGGGUUAUGGCAAGUGGUCACCUGGACCCUAUAGCGAGAGAAUUACUACGCUUAGAGCCAGACGGCACCGCCACUGAUUUUAAGGGCCGCGAAACCGCGAACCCCAAGACAAGCCGAGGCUUGAGUGGUUAUAAUGACGCUCGAACAGG
rnacentral:misc_RNA from 1 species